AGAUGACACCACCAAGAGCCACACACUCUAGGAUUCCUCAUCCCAGCUUCUUGUAUGGAGGAGGACUUCUUGCUUCAUGGACAUCUUAGUGGAGGAUGUAUUAGCAGAAUUAAUGAACCAAGAAGACAUCCUACUCAUGGUAGGCCUGGAUAUGAGCAGAUGUGGGAGGUGGUGGCCGUCAUGAACACUGCUGUCUUUAAUUUUGUGGCAUUAAGUAGUCUCACCCAAACCAUACAUUAAGCACCAGUUGUUGUUAGCCUAACCAUGGCAUAAAUCCCCGUUAUCUGACCUGGUUUUAGUUACAAUUGCCCCAGUUUGCUUUUCAGCAGUUUUUUUUUUAGAUAAUCAGCUGCUGUCCCGUGGAACACUAUCACGAGUAACCCUUUGCAGAGUUUUUUAGGAACAGAUGUCUGUACAUACAUAGAUGCAACAUCAUUCAAGAAACCUACUUAGUGUGUAGUGAUUUUGUAUCUUUGGAUCUCCCAGUUUGCUUUUCAGCAGUUCUUUUUUGAGGUAAUCAGUUGCUGUCCCGUGGAACACUAUCACGAGUAACCCUUUGCAGAGUUUUUAGGAACAGAUGUCUGUACAUACAUAGAUGCAGCAUCAUUCAAGAAACCUACUUAGUGUGUAGUGAUUUUGUAUCUUUGGAUCACUGAUGACUGUUUACUUGUGCUCUCAAAUUUAUGAGCAUGUGAUUCUUUUUAAUUUGUAACUUUAAAAUGUUAGGAGAAAUACUACUUUUAUCCAUUGUUAUAUCAAUUUAGCAUAAAAAUAAAAUAGUUUCUACAGUAUUACAAGAAAAGAUCGUCCUGUAGGUAUGAUGAAGUAAUGGGUGAUCUGUCCUCUGACAUAGGAAAUCACGUACGGAACUUGUGAGGAAUGACACUGGCCUCCAUUAGAUCAUAUAGAUUUGUGUCUCUUAGAACAUGGAAUGUUCAUUAAUUGCAUUAGUGCUUGCUCUUUAUAAUGAAAU